rnacentral:rRNA from 1 species
ACCUUACCAUCCUUUGACAUGGCNUGUUAUGGGGAGAGAUNUCCAGUCCUNUUCGGAGGCGCGCACACAGGUGCUGCAUGGCUGUCGUCAGCUCGUGUCGUGAGAUGUUGGGUUAAGUCCCGCAACGAGCGCAACCCACGUCCUUAGUUGCCAUCAUUCAGUUGGGCACUCUAGGGAGACUGCCGGUGAUAANCCGCGAGGAAGGUGUGGAUGACGUCAAGUCCUCAUGGCCCUUACGGGAUGGGCUACACACGUGNUACAAUGGCGGUGACAGUGGGACGCGAAGGGGUGACCCCGAGCCAAUCUCCAAAAGCCGUCUCAGUUCGGAUUGCACUCUGCAACUCGAGUGCAUGAAGGCGGAAUCGCUAGUAAUCGUGGAUCAGCAUGCCACGGUGAAUACGUUCCCGGGCNUUGUACACACCGCCCGUCACAGCCAUGGGAGUUGGUCUUACCCGACGGCGGCUGNAAACAACACGCCGGGGAGGCNUGGGAACGUUU